rnacentral:rRNA from 1 species
AAAGUUCCCUUCGGGGAGCGAGUAGAGUGGCGCACGGGUGAGUAACACGUAGGUAAUCUACCUUUGGAUGGGGAAUAACAACCGGAAACGGUUGCUAAUACCGCAUAAUGCAGCGGCACCUAAUGGUGACAGUUGUUAAAGCGGGGGAUCGCAAGACCUCGCGUCUGAAGAGGAGCCUGCGGCAGAUUAGCUAGUUGGUAAGGUAACGGCUUACCAAGGCGAUGAUCUGUAGCCGGCCUGAGAGGGCGGUCGGCCACACUGACACUGACAUACGGGUCAGACUCCUACGGGAGGCAGCAGUCGGGAAUUUUGGGCAAUGGGCGAAAGCCUGACCCAGCAACGCCGCGUGAAGGAUGAAAUCCUUCGGGAUGUAAACUUCGCAAGAACGGGAAGAAUAAGUAAGGGUUAAUAUCCCUUACGAUGACGGUACUGUUUGUAAGCUCCGGCUAACUCCGUGCCAGCAGCCGCGGUAAUACGGGGGGAGCAAGCGUUGUUCGGAUUUACUGGGCGUAAAGGGCGCGUAGGCGGCCUCUGCAAGUCGACUGUGAAAUCUCCGGGCUUAACCCGGAACGGUCAGCCGAUACUGCAGGGCUAGAGUGCAGAAGGGGCAACUGGAAUUCUCGGUGUAGCGGUGAAAUGCGUAGAUAUCGAGAGGAACACCUGCGGCGAAGGCGGGUUGCUGGGCUGACACUGACGCUGAGGCGCGAAAGCUAGGGGAGCGAACGGGAUUAGAUACCCCGGUAGUCCUAGCCUUAAACGAUGAAUGCUUGGUGUCUGGGGUUUUAUAGUCCCCGGGUGCCGUCGCUAACGC